ACCUCCUGGCGGAAGUAGAUCACCUGCGCCGUGGUGACCACCGUGAAGACCGAGCAUAACUUGGAUGCUGUGAACGCUUCCGCCACCGCCUCUGUUUCCAAAAUCGGAAAAUAUCGGGUCGUCGAACGGUCCACCUUCCAUGGAGUCCGGGGAAAAAUGAACGCAAAUUAUUAUAAAACUAGCGGCGAGCAAUUAUAUGCAAAAAUGUGGAUGAUUGCCAACGGCGCGUAAUGGAAUCUGGACCAAUUGCGAUCAAUUGUUGCGGUUAUGAUUAAUUUUGAUUAGUUUUAACCAAAGUUAACGAACUGAACUAGUUGUACCGGGGCUUGAUGCCCGACUGAUCUUGUUCAAACUCUGCAGUCUGCCUCUGUCGCUUGCCUCGACAACACUUACUUCUCUACCAACGGGAGUAACACUGAACCUCCAACAUAACACUUACACACAUUUAUAUUUUAACGAGAUCCGAACAGCCCCGCCUCUUACACCCCCGUUGCAACCAAUGCCGCGACGGCAUAGGUCUGACGCCCAUUAUUCUAACGUACGUACAUACGAUACUGUGAUCAUCGCAUAGGUAUGCGUAUACAUACAUAUACGUAUAUUCAGGCACAGGCGCAACCGGGAUCAUCGUCAUCUACGCGGCCAUGCGGCACGCGGAUCCACACGCGCCCCAUACGCAAUAUGCGGGUACAUAACGUUCCUCAUCUUAUGUUCCCUCUGAAAAAAAUUGCCCCCCUUUCACCUGAAUUACAGUCACAUUGGUCUGUGAAAAAUGAUAAUCGGAAAAGCCCAUGCACGAAAAUAUUCAUGCGAAUUUGAUCUUUAUGUAUUACGUAUACAGAUGUUCGAGAUAUAGAUCAUCGGAUUCGCCCACGCCAACGGCCUUCUUAAUUUUGCGCGAUCCCCACUCUCCUGAGGGAAUUACGCUCGGUUAUAACGUGAUUGUGUCUCCUUCACUAUUCAUCUCAUCUGUGAGAAACUUACAAGUUUUCCAGUUGGGAUAUAUAUAUAUCAGGUGAAUCGAACAAUCGCAUGUAUGGGACCAUGAAGUUUUUGCUUCUGUUUGGACUUUAUAUAUGAAUGAAAUGAGAAUUAUAUUUUCCCUAACGUCCUACACUUU